GAUGAACGCUGGCGGCGUGCUUAACACAUGCAAGUCGAACGAAGCUACUUUAUUAUGGAUUUCUUCGGAAUGACGAUUUAGUGACUGAGUAGGCGGACGGGUGAGUAACGCGUGGGUAACCUGCCUUAUACAGGGGGAUAACAGUUAGAAAUGAACUGCUAAUACCGCAUAAGCGCACAGGAUUGCAUGAUCUAGUGUGAAAAACUCCGGUGGUAUAAGAUGGACCCGCGUCUGAUUAGCUGGUUGGUGAGGUAACGGCCCACCAAGGCGACGAUCGGUAGCCGGACUGAGAGGUUGAACGGCCACAUUGGGACUGAGACACGGUCCAGACUCCUACGGGAGGCAGCAGU
rnacentral:rRNA from 1 species